rnacentral:rRNA from 1 species
GACGAACGCUGGCGGCGUGCCUAAUACAUGCCAGUAGAACGCUGAAGGAGGAGCUUGCUUCUCUGGAUGAGUUGCGAACGGGUGAGUAACGCGUAGGUAACCUGCCUGGUAGCGGGGGAUAACUAUUGGAAACGAUAGCUAAUACCGCAUAAGAGUAGAUGUUGCAUGACAUUUGCUUAAAAGGUGCAAUUGCAUCACUACCAGAUGGACCUGCGUUGUAUUAGCUAGUUGGUGGGGUAACGGCUCACCAAGGCGACGAUACAUAGCCGACCUGAGAGGGUGAUCGGCCACACUGGGACUGAGACACCGCCCAGGCUCCUACGGGAGGCAGCAGUAGGGAAUCUUCGGCAAUGGACGGAAGUCUGACCGAGCAACGCCGCGUGAGUGAAGAAGGUUUUCGGAUCGUAAAGCUCUGUUGUAAGAGAAGAACGAGUGUGAGAGUGGAAAGUUCACACUGUGACGGUAUCUUACCAGAAAGGGACGGCUAACUACGUG